UUGGGAUUUAGCUCAGUGGUAGAGUGUUUGCCUAGUACGCAAGGCUCUGGGUUCCAUCCUCAGCUCUGAAA
rnacentral:tRNA from 1 species